rnacentral:rRNA from 1 species
GACGAACGCUGGCGGCGUGCUUAACACAUGCAAGUCGAACGGAAAGGCCCUGCUUUUGUGGGGUGCUCGAGUGGCGAACGGGUGAGUAACACGUGAGUAACCUGCCCUUGACUUUGGGAUAACUUCAGGAAACUGGGGCUACUACCGGAUAGGAGCUCCUGCUGCAUGGUGGGGGUUGGAAAGUUUCGGCGGUUGGGGAUGGACUCGCGGCUUAUCAGCUUGUUGGUGGGGUAGUGGCUUACCAAGGCCUUGACGGAUAGCCGGCCUGAGAGGGUGACCGGCCACAUUGGGACUGAGAUACGGCCCAGACUCCUACGGGAGGCAGCAGUGGGGAAUAUUGCACAAUGGGCGGAAGCCUGAUGCAGCAACGCCGCGUGCGGGAUGACGGCCUGCGGGUUGUAAACCGCUUUCGCCUGUGACGAAGCGUGAGUGACGGUAAUGGGUAAAGAAGCACCGGCUAACUACGUG